rnacentral:rRNA from 1 species
UACGUAGGUGGCAAGCGUUUGUCCGGAUUUACUGGGCGUAAAGGGCGCGUAGGCGGCGUGACAAGUCACUUGUGAAAUCUCCGGGCUUAACUCGGAACGGUCAAGUGAUACUGUCGUGCUAGAGUGCGGAAGGGGCAACUGGAAUUCUUGGUGUAGCGGUGAAAUGCGUAGAUAUCAAGAGGGAACACCUGCGGCGAAGGCGGGUUGCUGGGCCGACACUGACGCUGAGGCGCGAAAGCGUGGGGAGCGAACAGG